GAGCACUAUAACUUUCUUUCUCUGUUUCUCUCUCUCUCUCUCUCUCUCUCUCUCUGUGUGUGUGUGUGUGUGUGUGUGAGAGAGAGAGAGAGAGAGAGAGAGAGUUUGUGAGUGUGUGAAGUAUGAG